ACUCAACCCAGCUGCUGUACGCUGCUCGUCACACCUCUCCUCUGUAUAAUAACAACGAUGGUGAUAUACUCAUAGACGUGUGAGUGAGUGUUGAAGCCUGGAAUACACCUGAAACAUCAUCACUAAGCAGAUAAGUUUCGAUGUCCUUGGCAUGCAGUAUAGGUCUUCACCGAGAUGAACGCAGUGUUGCUGGAAGAUCGCAAGGCUAUGCUGCUGGAUGAUUCACGUGAAUACAGACACAAAGAAUGUUUUUGAGCAGUGUGCCUGGGAACCAGUUUGAUAAACAUACAUACGAGUCGGGACGUGCAUGCUGCGUGCGUCCCAUUCAGUUGUUGAAUAUUCCACGUUGGCAGAAAUAAUUGGAAUCGGGCCCAUAGCCAGGCUUACGCCUUUAACGUAUGGUUUUCACUUAACGCUUUACCAUUCAAUUCCAUGACUGGAACAAUUCACAAAAACCCGGACAUAGGAGAGAGAAGCUUGUGACGACGUUUCGGUCCCAUCUGGGUUAUUUAAUUGGCCAAAGUCUGACUGAAACGUCGUCAUAAGCUGAGGAGGUCUCGGGCUACCUUCGCCGGGUCGCCGUCUGGAGAAGACCCUGGCCGGGCGU